rnacentral:lncRNA from 1 species
CCCGGCACUGUUUCUUCCCUCUGUUUUUCAGUUGUCAUGAACUCAGCAGCUUUGCUCAGCUGUGCUCCUCCUGUGCCUCGAUGUUUCUGCCUGGACGUCCGCAGGCCACGUACUGAAUCCCUCUGCAAUAUGAGCCACAUCUCCUCUCUAAAUUGUGUGCGUCAGAUAUGUUGUGCAGCAGUCAGAAAGCCGGUUAAUACCAAGAAGAAAUGGAAAGUGGGUACUUACCGGUUUUCCACAAUAGAGACACAGACAACACAGCAUACAGAAGAGCCAGACUGAGCACAGGGAAGAUGAACAGAUUAAAGCUCGGCAUGAGAGGAAUGUUUUCCACCGUAUUACUUCUAUGUGAACUGAACAAGGCUAAUUACAGCACUGCAUUUGCUAAAGUUUAGAAAGAGUGCUUUUUAACUGCAUGUGAGAAUCACAGAGGCUCCUCCCGAGCACUCACAAUGAUUUGUUUUGAGAUGGACAUAUGCACAGGUAUGAUCUCCAAGCUCUGCAGUUGUUUGCAA